rnacentral:tRNA from 1 species
GGGCGCGUAGCUCAGGGGGAGAGCACCUCGUUGACAUCGAGGGGGUCGGCAGUUCGAUCCUGCCCGCGCCCACCA